UACGAAGGGGGCUAGCGUUGCUCGGAAUUACUGGGCGUAAAGGGCGCGUAGGCGGACAGUUUAGUCAGAGGUGAAAGCCCAGGGCUCAACCUUGGAAUUGCCUUUGAUACUGGCUGUCUUGAGUUCGGGAGAGGUGAGUGGAAUGCCGAGUGUAGAGGUGAAAUUCGUAGAUAUUCGGCGGAACACCAGUGGCGAAGGCGACUCACUGGCCCGAUACUGACGCUGAGGCACGAAGGUCAGGGGAGCAAACGGG
rnacentral:rRNA from 1 species